rnacentral:tRNA from 1 species
CGGGGCGUAGCGCAGGUGGCUAAGCGCACUUGCUUGGGGUGCAAGGGGUCGGCGGUUCGAAUCCGCCCGCCCCGACCA